GACCGCAUAGCUCAGUUGGAAGAGCAUUGGGCUAGUAUUCCAAAGGUUGUAGGUUCGAAUCCCGCCGUGGCCA
rnacentral:tRNA from 1 species